UGGGGAAUUUUGGACAAUGGGGGCAACCCUGAUCCAGCAAUGCCGCGUGAGUGAAGAAGGCCUUCGGGUUGUAAAGCUCUUUUGUCCGGGAAGAAAUCCCAUCCCUGAAUACGGGGUGGGGAUGACGGUACUGGAAGAAUAAGCACCGGCUAACUACGUGCCAGCAGCCGCGGUAAUACGUAGGGUGCAAGCGUUAAUCGGAAUUACUGGGCGUAAAGCGUGCGCAGGCGGUUGUGCAAGACCGAUGUGAAAUCCCCGGGCUUAACCUGGGAACUGCAUUGGUGACUGCACGGCUAGAGUGUGUCAGAGGGGGGUAGAAUUCCACGUGUAGCAGCGAAAUGCGUAGAGAUGUCCCGGAGGAAUACCGAUGGCGAAGGCAGCCCCCUGGGAUAACACUGACGCUCAUGCACGAAAGCGUGGGGAGCAAACAGGAUUAGAUACCCUGGUAGUCCACGCCCUAAAACGAUGUCAACUAGUUGUCGGGGAUUAAUUUCCUUGGUAACGCAGCUAACGCGU
rnacentral:rRNA from 1 species